AAGACUAUACUUUCAGGGAUCAUUUCUAUAGUUUUUAACUUUUGGAAAUGUGCUCUAAAGUGUCCAGAUCUACCAACCAUGAGGAAGAGCAAUAGUAAUCUUUUCUGAGCGCGAAGUGAGCUCUCAGUGCUGCUUCAUUGUAGCUUCAUUGUAGCUGCUGUUUGCUUUUGAUGACCGUUCCUUUUCUUCUAUCAUGGGAGGAAGAGAUUACAAGCUGAGUGGU